AUGACAGUAACCCUUCGUUCUCCGUCGAAAAAAGAAGCGAAAGUCUACCGCCACAAGUUUCGACAAAGUGGGUUAAACCAUAGGAAUUUGGAUCAACUCGAAACAUUAUCAAAGAAGCUUAAAUCCAAGAUAGUUAGGGCUGAGGCACCUUCACACUUCAUUGCUGCAACUAGGCUUCUUGCCCGCGAGGGUAUAAAUGCAGAGCAACUUGUAAGGAAUAUGAAGUUAUUUGAGUUGAAGAACAGGACGGGGCGACUAUCUUUAUCACCAAUAGAACAAAACUGA
rnacentral:lncRNA from 1 species